GAUGAACGCUGGCGGCGUGCCUAAUACAUGCAAGUCGAGCGAACAGACGAGGGGCUUGCUCCUCUGACGUUAGCGGCGGACGGGUGAGUAACACGUGGAUAACCUACCUAUAAGACUGGGAUAACUUUGGGAAACCGGAGCUAAUACCGGAUAAUAUAUUGAACCGCAUGGUUCAAUAGUGAAAGACGGUUUUGCUGUCACUUAUAGAUGGAUCCGCGCCGCAUUAGCUAGUUGGUAAGGUAACGGCUUACCAAGGCAACGAUGCGUAGCCGACCUGAGAGGGUGAUCGCCCACACUGGAACUGAGACACGGUCCAGACUCCUACGGGAGGCAGCAGUAGGGAAUCUUCCGCAAUGGGCGAAAGCUUGACGGAGCAACGCCGCGUGAGUGAUGAAGGUCUUCGGAUCGUAAAACUCUGUUAUUAGGGAAGAACAAAUGUGUAAGUAACUAUGCACGUCUUGACGGUACCUAAUCAGAAAGCCACGGCUAACUACGUG
rnacentral:rRNA from 1 species